rnacentral:lncRNA from 1 species
UGCAAGCUCAUGUUUAUUUGAAACAGAAAAAUAAAAUGUAUUUGAUAAAUUAGAUACAUGAAUAAAUUUUGCAAAUCAAUGAAACGAUUUUAUAUUAUAAACGAACUGACCUAUCAAUUCUGUUAAUUGCAAACGGGUUGAAAGAUCGCUCUUUUGUCACUCAACAUACAUGGAAGAGUCGGACGUUUCAGAAGAAUCGGAGCUAGGUUUAUCCAAGAUCUACACUCAUGUUUUUUGAUGACCGACUUCUGUCCCUUUCGAAUCCGCUAUUCUAUACCUAUACUCUCUAUGUCCUCUCGCAUCCGUCGUGUCCAUACUCUAAGUGCCAGUACUCUCAUUCGUUUAUAUUACUUGGAUGUUUUCCAACGUUUCUUUUGCUUCCGUUUUCACAGUACACCUCUCCCACUGUUCUCAUUCAAACUACGAUUCCCAACCCGUUUUAUUGAUAUUUAAUUUAAACAAGAAUAACAAUAAUCGAGGGAGGAAAGGGGGUUUAAAAGGAGCUAAUUUUCGUUUCGUUGAUUUUUUCUUUGUAUACAUACUAAUAGGAAUGAAUACACAAAAUAUAAUAAAACUACUUAAUUAAUUAGAACUGAUUAUACAAAUUAAUUAAUUACAAUAUCAAUAUCAAUUAAUACAACUGAU